rnacentral:rRNA from 1 species
AUGUUACGAGGGAGCGAUGCCUCCAGGUACUCCCCUCCAUGCAAAAAAACGGACGAAAAUAAACCGAUGAAAGAAAACCAGCGAAAAAAAUCCGUCUUGGACUGGCAACGUGCGAACGAGCGAGCGAGCAAGCGAAGCCUCCAGGUCCCUUCGCCGUUGCCCUCGCACAUCAAGCCGCCGCCCUCGCCCUCGCCCUCGCAGCCGCCGCCGAUCCCCUCCCCCAUCUUCCUCCCUCAAACGCUAACCCGUCUCGCGGUGCGCCACCGCCCGUCGCGGCCGCCCCCGCCACCUCCCGCCGCGCCGCCGCCCCACCUCCAGCCGUGGCCGUCGCGCCCAGAUCCAGCGGCGGCUGCCGCCCCACCUCCAGCCGCGGCCGCCCCACCUCCAGUCGCGGCCGCCGCCCCCACGUCCCACCGCGGCCGCUGCCCGCGCCAACGACCCCUUCCUCCGCCGCCGCGCCACGGGUCCACUUCGCCAUGA